rnacentral:rRNA from 1 species
CCUACGGGAGGCAGCAGUGAGGAAUAUUGGUCAAUGGGAGAGAUCCUGAACCAGCCAAGCAGCGUGAGGGAUGACGGCCCUAUGGGUUGUAAACUUCUUUUGUCGGGGAAUAAAGUUCGGUACGUGUCCCGUUCUGCGUGUACCCUAUGAAUAAGCAUCGGCUAACUCCGUGCCAGCAGCCGCGGUAAUACGGAGGAUCCGAGCGUUAUCCGGAUUUAUUGGGUUUAAAGGGUGCGUAGGCGGUCCGUUAAGUCAGCGGUAAAAUUGUGGGGCUCAACCCCGACGAGCAGUUGAAACUGGGAGACUUGAGUGGGCGAGAGGUAGGCGGAAUGCGCGGUGUAGCGGUGAAAUGCAUAGAUAUCGCGCAGAACUCCGAUUGCGAAGGCAGCGUACUGGAGCGAGACUGACGCUGAUGCACGAAAGCGUGGGGAUCAAACAGGAUUAGAUACCCGUGUAGUC